GCUCCUGUGGCGGAAUUGGCAGACGCGACAAACUUAAAAUCUGUUCUAUUUUGAUUGUGAGUUCGAGUCUCACCGGGAGCA
rnacentral:tRNA from 1 species